rnacentral:snoRNA from 1 species
CAGGAACACCAUGGUGAAGAGAAUAAAGGAUGGGUGUCGGAAGUGUGCUACAUUAAUGGCAGGAUUUUUGCUAACACCAGUGGAGCCUGCCUCUGUGACUGGAGUUUGUUACUGUUUAUAGUUACAUUC